rnacentral:rRNA from 1 species
GAUGAACGCUGGCGGCGUGCCUAAUACAUGCAAGUCGAGCGAACGGACGAGAAGCUUGCUUCUCUGAUGUUAGCGGCGGACGGGUGAGUAACACGUGGAUAACCUACCUAUAAGACUGGGAUAACUUCGGGAAACCGUAGCUAAUACCGGAUAAUAUUUUGAACCGCAUGGUUCAAAAGUGAAAGACGGUCUUGCUGUCACUUAUAGAUGGAUCCGCGCUGCAUUAGCUAGUUGGUAAGGUAACGGCUUACCAAGGCAACGAUGCAUAGCCGACCUGAGAGGGUGAUCGGCCACACUGGAACUGAGACACGGUCCAGACUCCUACGGGAGGCAGCAGUAGGGAAUCUUCCGCAAUGGGCGAAAGCCUGACGGAGCAACGACGCGUGAGUGAUGAAGGUCUUCGGAUCGUAAAACUCUGUUAUUAGGGAAGAACAUAUGUGUAAGUAACUGUGCACAUCUUGACGGUACCUAAUCAGAAAGCCACGGCUAACUACGUG